rnacentral:lncRNA from 1 species
GGCCCUGGGACUGAGAGAGCUCCUGGGCCAUGGGAUGUUCAGUACUUAAAAUCAGCAAAGUCCUUGGCAAGCUGAGGUGGCUUAUCGGGUGAGAUGACCCAGGAUUAUACUUGAGGGGGUCUAGGCUCUGGCUUUGUGAUUUUA